CCUACGGGUGGCUGCAGUGAGGAAUAUUGGACAAUGGGCGAGAGCCUGAACCAGCCAAGUCGCGUGAAGGAUGACGGCCCUACGGGUUGUAAACUUCUUUUGUCAGGGAGCAAUUUAGUCCACGUGUGGGCUUAGCGAGAGUCCCUGCCGACAAAGCAUCGGCUAACUCCGUGCCAGCAUGCGCGGUAAUACGGAGGAUGCGAGCGUUAUCCGGAUUGAUUGGGGGUAAAGGGUGCGUAGGCGGAAUAUCAAGUCAGCGGUAAAAAUUCGGGGCUCAACCCCGGCGUGCUGUUGAAACUGGUGUUCGUGAGUGGGAGAGAGGUAAGCGGAAUGCGUGGUGUAGCGGUGAAAUGCGUAGAUAUCACGAAGAACUCCGAUUGCGAAGGCAGCAUACUGGAGCGCAACUGACGCUGAGGCACGAAAGCGUGGGGAUCGAACAGGAUUAGAUACCCCUGUAGUC
rnacentral:rRNA from 1 species